AUUAGCUUCGGCUGUACAUGAUCUAAACUUGGAACGAUACGGCGUUCAAUUUGGCCCCUGCGCAAAGAUGACAUGCAAAUUUGUGAGGCAUGCCAGAUUUUC
rfam:Octopus bimaculoides Scaffold7435_contig_147, whole genome shotgun sequence.